UACAGAGGGGGCAAGCGUUGUUCGGAAUUACUGGGCGUAAAGCGCACGUAGGCGGACUGUUAAGUCGGGGGUGAAAUCCUGGGGCUCAACCUCAGAAUUGCCUCCGAUACUGGCAGUCUCGAGUGCGGGAGAGGUGAGUGGAAUUCCCAGUGUAGCGGUGAAAUGCGUAGAUAUUGGGAGGAACACCAGUGGCGAAGGCGGCUCACUGGACCGGAACUGACGCUGAGGCGCGAAAGCGUGGGGAGCAAACGGG
rnacentral:rRNA from 1 species